AGUGAACGCUGGCGGUAGGCCUAACACAUGCAAGUCGAACGGCAGCACAGUAAGAGCUUGCUCUUACGGGUGGCGAGUGGCGGACGGGUGAGGAAUACAUCGGAAUCUACUUUUUCGUGGGGGAUAACGUAGGGAAACUUACGCUAAUACCGCAUACGACCUACGGGUGAAAGCAGGGGAUCUUCGGACCUUGCGCGAUUGAAUGAGCCGAUGUCGGAUUAGCUAGUUGGCGGGGUAAAGGCCCACCAAGGCGACGAUCCGUAGCUGGUCUGAGAGGAUGAUCAGCCACACUGGAACUGAGACACGGUCCAGGCUCCUACGGGAGGCAGCAGUGGGGAAUAUUGGACAAUGGGCGCAAGCCUGAUCCAGCCAUACCGCGUGGGUGAAGAAGGCCUUCGGGUUGUAAAGCCCUUUUGUUGGGAAAGAAAAGCAGCAGGCUAAUACCCCGCUGUUCUGACGGUACCCAAAGAAUAAGCACCGGCUAACUUCGUG
rnacentral:rRNA from 1 species